rnacentral:lncRNA from 1 species
UUCAUCCUUGCUACGCAGGAUUGAAGCCACGUCGAGUGGCGAGUACAAUAGGUCGAUCCUAGCCCUCCACCUCGCAAGAUUUCUUGUUGAAAAAUGGGAUUUUCGUGCAGAAAUGGGCUGGAUUUCGGAAGGAAUUCGAUUUGAAAUGGUUGGGCCUUGUUCAUUCGAGUUUUUCACUCUCUUCCUCCCCCAAAAACCGAACCCUAAUUUCCUCUAUUUAAACCAUUCUUCUCCUUCAUUACAGGGGGAUUUUUUGAUUGGAUUUUUGGGGGAAGGUUGAAAAAAAUAAUAUAUAAAAAUUGAAAAGCAAACAUAGAGCAGAGUUAUUGAGAAAAAAUAUUUUAAUACACGCUAAAUAUGCUUCAUAAGCCAAAGAGAUACUAGUUUUCGGUUUCGUGUUUAAGUUUCUGCUUGAAUUUCCAUCUGGACGUUUGUGUUCGAGUUUCUCGUGGUGAAGGUCUCCGCCUCUGCUCGUCUGUCUCAGUUUGUUGCACACAAGAAGGUAAACUUCUUUUCAAUUCCAAUUCUUUUAGUUGUUCUUUUGUUGUGAUUUGAAUGGUCUGUUGGUUUAUUUUCUUCAUUUCUUGAACGUUUUUUUUUUUUUUUGUUCUCCUCGGCUCAUCGUUUGUGUGGUAGCUGAGUGAUUGGAUCUGAGAUGUUGUUCGUAGUCAUCUACAAGAGUUAGUCGUAAUACUGAUUUGAAGUUCUGUCAAUUUAUAUUUAGUGUUGUUGUUUAAGUGUGUUUUGGUGUCUUCCUUCCUGAAUUUGUCAUUUGAGUAUUAUUGGGUAUGUACUAUUUAUUUUUAUACUUUUGUUAAGUGUCUGAUGCAUUGCCUUCAUGCGAGUUACUACUAGAGGCUGAUUUUCUUGUUGGAGGAUAAGUUUUGAAGAUCGAUCGAUAUGUUCAAGCAUGUAUGGUGUAAUCGUGUGCUUGUUCUAAUCGUUUAGUUUUUGUCUAUUUCUUGAAUGUCCUUGUUGUCUUACUGCCUAUUGACUUGUUUAGAUUAAGUCGUAUCUUCAGGCCAUUCGAUUUUUAGUCAAAAAAUGUUUACAUUUGCAAGUUAAGUUGGUAAGAAUAUGAGUUUCUUUUCUUUUCUUUUUCUGAUUUUAUUUGCCAAUUCUUAGUUUUGCUGGAGUUUUGUAUUUAGGAUCAUUUGAAGUAUGAUUUUCUUUUCUUUACUUUCCAUGUCUUAGUCCUGUUAAAGUUUAAAUUUUUGCCCUUAAGAUAAUCUGAAGCAUGAGUUUAUUAGCAUUUGACUAUUGUGUACAUAGCAUGUUGAUUUUUCUAGUAUAAGUUUGUUUUUUUUAGUAGCUUAGUCACCUGUUGUACGGUUCUGGUUUUGGUCUAUUGUAUUGAUGGUCUAUCCCUCUGUUUCAAUUCUUACAUGAUAUUAGUGUGGAUUUAGUAUUUAUUUGUUCACUAGUUAGCGUUCAAUAUGUUAAAAAUAAUAGUUUUAAUUAACAUGAGAGAUUGUGUGAUAACUUGAGUAUUAAAAUAGUUGCUCCUCAUUUUAUCUUGGUGGUCAUCCCUUUGUCAGUCUUCUUAUUUUUAUAAGUCUAUUUAUUUCUUUUGUGGGGACACCAAAAUUUGUGCCUGCAUGUAUAUAUUAUUAGCAAUAGUAUUGUUAUGAUUCACC